UUUUUUUUUUCCAAAAAAAAAAAAGGCAAAAUUCAGCUUAUUGCAAUCCUCUAACUAGUCGGCAGCUACAGUUCAUGAUACAAAACAACAAAAAGGAAACGAUGUGCCAAAUGAUAGAAUUCUGACACUAAUGCAAUGGCACCAAGUUAGUUCAAGAACAUGUAAUUUCUGCGCUUAAAGGCGUGCAUCGUUAUUGAUCGAAGUUGAAGACAUUGCAGAAAGUACAUCUGUCACAGAAGCCAUGACACUCAAAGCAGCUUUCAGA
rnacentral:misc_RNA from 1 species